CCCAGACUCCUACGGGAGGCAGCAGUGGGGGAUAUUGCACAAUGGGGGAAACCCUGAUGCAGCGACGCCGCGUGAGUGAAGAAGUAUUUCGGUAUGUAAAGCUCUAUCAGCAGGGAAGAAAAAAGACGGUACCUGACUAAGAAGCCCCGGCUAACUACGUGCCAGCAGCCGCGGUAAUACGUAGGGGGCAAGCGUUAUCCGGAUUUACUGGGUGUAAAGGGAGCGUAGACGGCAAUACAAGUCGGAAGUGAAAUACCCGGGCUCAACCUGGGAACUGCUUUGGAAACUGUAUGGCUGGAGUGCUGGAGAGGUAAGCGGAAUUCCUAGUGUAGCGGUGAAAUGCGUAGAUAUUAGGAGGAACACCAGUGGCGAAGGCGGCUUACUGGACUGUAACUGACGUUGAGGCUCGAAAGCGUGGGGAGCAAACAGGAUUAGAUACCCCCGUAU
rnacentral:rRNA from 1 species